GAUAAACGCUGGCGGCGUGCCUAAAACAUGCAAGUCGAACGGUUCUCGUUUUUCGGAACGGGGAUAGUGGCGGACGGCUGAGUAACACGUGGGUGACCUGCCCUCGAGCGGGGGAUAACUGCCCGAAAGGGUGGCUAAUACCGCGUAAGACCACGAUCUCGAAAGAGGACGAGGUAAAAGCUGGCCUCUGUAUACAAGCUAGCACUUGAGGAUGGGCCCGCGGCGCAUCAGGUAGUUGGUGAGGUAACGGCUCACCAAGCCGAAGACGCGUAGCUGGUCUGAGAGGAUGAUCAGCCACACUGGAACUGAGACACGGUCCAGACUCCGACGGGAGGCAGCAGUGGGGAAUCUUGCGCAAUGGGCGAAAGCCUGAAGCAGCGACGCCGCGUGAGUGAUGAAGGCCUUCGGGUUGUAAAGCUCUGUGGGGCGAGACGAAUAAGUGCAGCCUAAUACGCUGCAUGAUGACGGUAUCGCCUUAGCAAGCACCGGCUAACUCUGUGCCAGCCGCCGCAGUAACAC
rnacentral:rRNA from 1 species